AAACUGCUUCACUUCUGAGAGACCAGGGCCCUUUCCAGUAGCUUUAGGGAUGCUGUCCAUGACCCAAACUUGGAGGAGGACAAGUGAAUGUAUCUCAUAAAGGAGAAAGCUGGGAAGCCAAGGCGGAGAAGGACAUGUGAGACUGGGCAGGCUUCAGGGGUCUGAAUCAACUCCAGCCCAGCUGUCAUCUGUGGGAAGUGGCUUUUGGUUGACCAGUGGUACUUCCCAGUGUCAGCACGUGUGUUGUGUCAGCAGCUCAGACCUUGCGCUGAGGGCCCCCUGUCCUCAGCCACCCUUCAUCUUGGGAAAACUCUCUGGUGUAGAGCAGGGAGUUGCCUUGCUGAAGUGCCCACUCUGAAUGAAGAAGAACUGGGUCCUGCAGUCUGUCCACAGGAAGAAGACUGUAUGUGAGCACAGUUUCCAGGUUCACUGUGCCUCAUGCCGUCCCUGAUAUCAUGGAGGAAAUGAAUGGUCAUUUAAGAAUCCUCAUUGGCUAAAGAACUGGUGGUUUAAAUGAAUGAAUCUAAUUGCAAACUGUGAAGGGCUGGUCCUGGUAUUAAGAAGAUGGAUGAUUCUGUGAAGGGAAUGUGCUAAGACUUGUUUGUUGAAAAUGGAAUUAUUAAUGGCUUGUCAGUGAAGUUAAGAAUGCCUUAAAUCAUUCCUCUCUUACUCUAUUCAUAGAAGAAAUAAAACAAAUGAAUUUAUAAAGG
rnacentral:lncRNA from 1 species